rnacentral:rRNA from 1 species
CCUGGCUCAGGAUGAACGCUGGCGGCGUGCCUAAUACAUGCAAGUCGAGCGAGAAUCUGAUGAUUGGAGAUUCGUCAAAGAGAUUCAGAGGAAAGCGGCGGACGGGUGAGUAACGCGUAGGCAACCUGCCCUUAGCAGAGGGAUAGCCAUUGGAAACGAUGAUUAAAACCUCAUAAUGCUGUUGAAACACAUGUUUCGGCAGCCAAAGAUUUAUCGGCUAAGGAUGGGCCUGCGUCUGAUUAACUAGUUGGUGGGGUAACGGCUCACCAAGGUGACGAUCAGUAGCCGACCUGAGAGGGUGAUCGGCCACAUUGGAACUGAGACACGGUCCAAACUUCUACGGAAGGCAGCAGUAAGGAAUCUUGCACAAUGGGGGAAACCCUGAUGCAGCAACGCCGCGUGAACGAUGAAGGCCUUAGGGUUGUAAAGUUCUGAUCUGUGGGAAGAAGAAGUGACGGUACCACAGGAGAAAGCCCCGGCUAAAUACGUGCC